GACGAACGCUGGCGGCGUGCUUAACACAUGCAAGUCGAGCGGUAAGGCCCCUUCGGGGGUACACGAGCGGCGAACGGGUGAGUAACACGUGAGCAAUCUGCCCAUCACAUCGGGAUAACUCCGGGAAACCGAAGCUAAUACCGAAUACGACCACCUCCGGCAUCGGAUGGUGGUGGAAAGUUCCGGCGGUGAUGGAUGAGCUCGCGGCCUAUCAGCUUGUUGGUGGGGUAACGGCCCACCAAGGCUUCGACGGGUAGCCGGCCUGAGAGGGUGACCGGCCACACUGGGACUGGGACACGGCCCAGACUCCUACGGGAGGCAGCAGUGGGGAAUAUUGGACAAUGGGCGAAAGCCUGAUCCAGCAACGCCGCGUGAGGGAUGACGGCCUUCGGGUUGUAAACCUCUUUCAGCAGGGACGAAGCGCAAGUGACGGUACCUGCAGAAGAAGCACCGGCCAACUACGUG
rnacentral:rRNA from 1 species